AUAAUUUCAUGUUUUUUCUCUUGACUAUUUCUAAUGCUUCUGAAAUUAAUCCUUGUUUCAUAUUUGGUACUUGUUUGAUUACUUUUUCUCCUCCCCAGUCUACCUUUAUGUUUUUGAUGCAUAGCAUUCCACCACUAGUACUGUUGCCAUGUUGUCAUUCCUUAUGUUAUUUUCAUGUUCAUGGAGUCUUUCUUUUAGGGUACAGCGGAUGACCCCUAUAUAUGAGGCUUUUUGUCCUGUGCUCAUGUUUUUAACUGGUGUGCUAUAGAUUCCUUAUUUUUUGUUAUUUUGUUUGGAGUCUUUACAAUUCCUAAG
rnacentral:lncRNA from 1 species